UACGAAGGGGGCUAGCGUUGCUCGGAAUUACUGGGCGUAAAGCGCACGUAGGCGGUCUUUUAAGUCGGGAGUGAAAUCCCAGAGCUCAACUCUGGAACUGCCUUUGAUACUGGGUAUCUUGAGUAUGGAAGAGGUAAGUGGAAUUCCGAGUGUAGAGGUGAAAUUCGUAGAUAUUCGGAGGAACACCAGUGGCGAAGGCGGCUUACUGGUCCAUUACUGACGCUGAGGUGCGAAAGCGUGGGGAGCAAACAGG
rnacentral:rRNA from 1 species